rnacentral:rRNA from 2 species
AAAGAGAAUGGCAGGCGGUUUUCUAAGUCUGAUGUGAAAGGCUUCGGGUUAACAGGAGAAGUGCAUCGGAAACUUGGAUAACUUGAGUGCAGAAGAGGGUAGUGGAACUCCAUGUGUAGCGGUGGGAAUGCGUAGAUAUAUGGAAAGAACACCAGUGGCGAAAGGCGGCUACCUGGUCUGCAACUGACGCUGAGACUCGAAAGCAUGGGUAGCGAACAGGAUUAGAUACCCUGGUAGUCCAUGCCGUAAAACGAUGAGUGCUAGGUGUUGGAGGGUUUCCGCCCUUCAGUGCCGGAGCUAACGCAUUAAGCACUCCGCCUGGGGAGUACGACCGCAAGGUUGAAACUCAAAGGAAUUGACGGGGGCCCGCACAAGCGGUGGAGCAUGUGGUUUAAUUCGAAGCUACGCGAAGAACCUUACCAGGUCUUGACAUCUUGCGCCAACCCUAGAGAUAGGGCGUUUCCUUCGGGAACGCAAUGACAGGUGGUGCAUGGUCGUCGUCAGCUCGUGUCGUGAGAUGUUGGGUUAAGUCCCGCAACGAGCGCAACCCUUGUUACUAGUUGCCAGCAUUAAGUUGGGCACUCUAGUGAGACUGCCGGUGACAAACCGGAGGAAGGUGGGGACGACGUCAGAUCAUCAUGCCCCUUAUGACCUGGGCUACACACGUGCUACAAUGGACGGUACAACGAGUCGCGAACUCGCGAGGGCAAGCAAAUCUCUUAAAACCGUUCUCAGUUCGGACUGCAGGCUGCAACUCGCCUGCACGAAGUCGGAAUCGCUAGUAAUCGCGGAUCAGCAUGCCGCGGUGAAUACGUUCCCGGGCCUUGUACACACCGCCCGUCACACCAUGAGAGUUUGUAACACCCAAAGUCGGUGGGGUAACCUUUUAGGAGCCAGCCGCCUAAGGUGACAAGAUAUAGU